rnacentral:misc_RNA from 1 species
GCGGGUGGUGUGGAGCUGGCGAAUCUGGUCAGGGACAAUGGAUAGGACCCCAGGAACACGGCGGAGUGCUGCUGCCUGGGCUGCAGUGAGGUGGGCAGAAAAGCCAUUGAUGGCNNNGAUCUUGGUGGGGUGGGAGGAGGGAGGGAGGGAUCGGACGAUUGAUGUGUACCAAUCACGGUGAGAGGAGAAGAGGAUUGGCUUGUGAGAUUUCGCGACGUGGACGAUGAAGUUCUGUGGAAGGGUUGAUGAUGGUGGAGAGAAGAUUAGAGGGGGGAGAGAAAGGAAG